GACGAACGCUGGCGGCGUGCUUAACACAUGCAAGUCGAACGGAAAGGCCAUGCUUUUGUGGCUUGCUCGAGAGGCGAACGGGUGAGUAACACGUGAGUAUACCGCCCUUGACUUUGGGAUAAAUUCACGAAAAUCGGGCUCAUACAGCAUAGGAGCUACUGAUGCAUGUUGGGGGUUGGAAAGUUUCGGCGGUUGGGGAUGGACUCGAAGCUUAUCCGCUUGUUAGUGGGGUAGUGGAGUACCAAGGCUAUGACGGGUAGCCGGCCUGGGAGGUUGGACGGGGACAUGGGGACUACGGUACGGCGCAGUAGCCAACGUUCGGCAGCAGGGGGGAACAUUGCACAAUGGGCGGAAGCCAGUGGCAGCGACCCCGCGUUCGGGAUGACCGCUUUCUGGUGGUAAACCGCUUUCGCCGGUGACGAAGCGGGAUUGACGGUAAUGGGUAAAGAAGCAACGGCUAACUACGUG
rnacentral:rRNA from 1 species